rnacentral:rRNA from 1 species
ACGAGAAAGGGUAGCAAUACCUGAGUAAAGUGGCGCACGGGUGAGUAACACGUGACUAACCUACCCUGGAGUGGGGGAUGACUGAGGGAAACCUCGGCUAAUACCGCAUAACACCUACGGGUCAAAGGAGCAAUUCGCUUCAGGAGGGGGUCGCGGUCGAUUAGUUAGUUGGCGGGGUAAUGGCCCACCAAGACUGUGAUCGAUAUCCGGCCUGAGAGGGCGCACGGACACACUGGAACUGAAACACGGUCCAGACUCCUACGGGAGGCAGCAGUGGGGAAUUUUGCGCAAUGGGGGAAACCCUGACGCAGCAACGCCGCGUGGAGGAUGAAGUCCUUCGGGACGUAAACUCCUUUCGAUCGGGACGAUUAUGACGGUACCGGAAGAAGAAGCCCCGGCUAACUUCGUGCCAGCAGCCGCGGUAAUACGAGGGGGGCGAGCGUUGUUCGGAAUUAUUGGGCGUAAAGGGUGCGUAGGCGGUUUGGUAAGUCUUGUGUGAAAUCUCUGGGCUCAACUCAGAGUCUGCACGAGAAACUGCCGGGCUUGAGUAUGGGAGAGGUGAGUGGAAUUCCUGGUGUAGCGGUGAAAUGCGUAGAUAUCAGGAGGAACACCUGUGGCGAAAGCGGCUCACUGGACCAUAACUGACGCUGAUGCACGAAAGCUAGGGGAGCAAACAGGAUUAGAUACCCUGGUAGUCCUAGCCCUAAACGAUGACUGCUUGGGUGUGACGGGUA